rnacentral:rRNA from 1 species
AUACGUACGGGGCGAGCGUUGUCCGGAAUGAUUGGGCGUAAAGGGCGCGUAGGCGGCCCGGUAAGUCUGGAGUGAAAGUCCUGUUUUUAAGAUGGGAAUUGCUUUGGAUACUGUCGGGCUUGAGUGCAGGAGAGGUAAGUGGAAUUCCCAGUGUAGCGGUGAAAUGCGUAGAGAUUGGGAGGAACACCAGUGGCGAAGGCGACUUACUGGACUGUAACUGACGCUGAGGCGCGAAAGUGUGGGGAGCAAACAGGAUUAGAUACCCUGGUAGUCCACACUGUAAACGAUGAAUGCUAGGUGUAGGGGGUAUCGACCCCUUCUGUGCCGCAGUCAACACAAUAAGUAUUCCGCCUGGGGAGUACGGCCGCAAGGUUGAAACUUAAAGGAAUUGACGGGG